rnacentral:lncRNA from 1 species
GGUCACUGUUCAGCUUCCCUGAACCUGAAGUUCAUCAAUUCAGCCAGGAUGGUUGGUCCAACAGCUUCAUGGAUGGGGCUGUCUUCUCUCCCCAACGCACAGUUGGUGGUUGGAACUGAAGUUCUCUGAAGAAGCCACAUGUGCCGUGAAGAUCCGCAAGACAGACUAUGGCUUUCUGUUUAUGAAUAGGUGGGAUGUUGUAAAUUAAAAGGCUCUUCCACGGUGUGGGCUUACAGUGGCAUUGCCAACGACAGCUGCAACCACAGCGUGACAACAAGGACUGUCAAGCAAUGUGUGGGGUGUCCUGAAGAAAAACAGUGAAGAGAUCUGAACAGUGGGACGACAGCUCAGAAGAGGAAGAGCCUGGAGCAGCUAGCUCAACAGCACAGACCUUCGGCUCAGAGGCGCUGGGCACCUGUAGGGCACACUCAGCUCUCUCUCAGACCACUGGACCAGGGGAACUUUAAGAACUUUCUGGUUUAAAAACAAACAAACAAAACAAAUGAGCACUCAAACAAACCCCAAGGCUGCUCUGAGAGGGCCACAGAGAUUCUCAGCACAGGACAAGCGCGGCUGCUUUGCAGGUGUGUGCUUGUCUGCGGCAGAGCGUGGCUCGCCUCUGGAGCUCUCAUCACUGACCACUCUUCAGUGUCACCUCCCUGUGCCACCAUCUUGUUGAUUUUUCCUAUGAAAGACUAAAGUCUUACAUCUGUCAAGAAAACACCGAUGGUGAUGGACCUGAGCAGCAAAUAAAACCAAACGCCUCCCUUCUAGGUUGAGGUGUUUGGAGAGGAAAGAGGGUCUAACUCACGGCUUGGUUCUGUCCCAGGACACUCUGAAGUGCCACCCAUGCUGAUGGGAACCUGCCACUGUCCCCUUGGCACUGCAUUCAAGUGCGUGUGCUGAAAGUGCUGAUGUGUGGCAGAGUGAACUUCCUAUUCCCACCCCUCCUGUUAAAGCUGUGUUCACAAUGGUAGUCCCUCCAGACAGCAGGGCUUACAAUCAGAGGGUUUUUGUAACAGAAAGGAAAGGGGCAAACAAAACCGUCUGAGCAUACAAGAAACCCUGAGGUGAAAAUGGCUUUUCCUGUAGAGUCUUCUUCAGGCUGACGCAGUGUCUGUCACAAGGGCCCAGGGCCCUUCUGGGAGGGCAGGCCUUCCUCCAUCCACAGAGAGCCAGUGCGGGGCGCCCUGCGGUGGAUGCGCCGCAGCCGCAGCAGGUAGAGAAGGAUGGACAGAAGGACGACCAGGAAGCAACCGGAGAACAGAUAGUGGUUGUAGACGAAGGACACGCCCCGCCAGUGCGCGUGGCCAGCUCGGAACACCUCCUGCCGGAUGUCUCUGUGGCACAGAGACAAACAGAAACGACAGUGAGGAGGGUGCCAGGCAAGGUCUGCUGUUCCCAGCUUUCCUUACAUUGAGACCAGGGGAUGGCAAGCCCAAAGUGGGUUCCCUGUCAACUACGUUGUUAACACUCAGACAAUGACAUAUGGAAGCAUGUCCUUAAGACAUUAGCGUUAUCAUUUCAUCAACACACACUUGAUAAAUGUAGGUCCCAGGGUUUUGUUCUUACAAGGAAGUUAAUGGGGCAAACACAUUCAUGUGGAAAUUUGUGUAAUCAGUAACGGCUCUAAACAAAAAUUCUAAACAGAAUUUUUGGAGCUGACCCAAGUUAGAAUAGUAGAUAAAUAAGGUUUUAAAUGUGGUCAUCUGAGCUAGGUCUGAGAACUUGAAUAAAGAAAGCUGUAUGUCUUUAUGUGACCAAGUGUGGACUGGAAUCUAGUAUCUCCUUUGGUCAUGAAUCUACACAGACAAUGCCACAGUCUUAAAAGUAUUAGCGGACACUUGGGUGCUAAGGACGAUGACUGGUGCUUUGGGCCCACUCUGAAGGCCGACGCCUCAGCUGUCAGUCAUCACCACGCUGAAGGAACAGACAAGAUGGUUCUGCUACCAGACAUCGCAAGACAGUGCAUUCAUAAUGAUGUACCCCUACAUCACAAGUCUGUCUGCUACCACAGUGUCACAGAUGUGCUCAAUACAAUGGUUUCUUUUGCAAUCCUAGAUACUAUACUAUCACAGAAGGAGCCCGAAGCCAUAAGGAUCACCACUAAAUGGACCCUUCUGCGGGGGUGAGGGGACAGACAAAUGGGACAUAGGGUGGCACCACAGAGAGUUGUUAUGUUGUGGGAGAAAAGGAAGCCCCUGGGGAGGGAGAUGGAGAAGACCCAAGUUAACUAACCCAAGUUAACUAACCCAAGUUAGCUAACCCAAGUUAGUUAGUCUGGCUAGCCUCACAGCUCUGACGCAUCCACAGAAUACAGCCACCAGGAGGCAGCGCGCUCCAGAGAACCAUGCCUGUGCCUCUCCCAAUCCUACCUCAAGGGCAGGAAGCGGGUCCGGUAAAGGAUGGCCCCCAGGGUCCACUGUACUUCCUUGUCAUACACCUGCAAGGCCGUCUUCAGGUUUUUGUAGGUGACAGGAAAGGAGAAGCCUUUGUGGAACACCUCGAACAUCCAGGCUGAUUUGAAACACUGAUACCUACGGGUGCCAAGCACAGACACGGGUCGGCCAGGCACCAGACAGACUGUGCCCAGCUUGCAGCAGGCCAGCUCUGAGAAGGCGGCACAUGUGGCUGCUACGUGAUUAUUGAGCUCAGGCUGUCGCCCUGCAGAGAGGGCCGUUUACCUGUCGGGUCUGACUAGCCUGAAACAGCACCACUGAAUUGCUUCUGUGGGAUGCCUCCCUCCACAUGCCUUCAGCACGCCAUCACUUACUGAUCAAACGCUGCCGCGUUCCAGCUCCUGGAGACCCCAGCCUCUUUAUGACAGAAGGUAAACGCAGGAGGAUCCUUUCGGCUGAGCCUCAAUGUUUAUUAGAGCCCCUCCCCCUUUUACGAAGUGCUGGACUAAGUAAGUGAUUAAUCAUAGUAAUAAACGAUAAGACUCUG